rnacentral:rRNA from 1 species
CUUGAUCGAUCGAUGUGGCAGCUGGUCAGCUCGAUGAUGGGUUCGCGGUACCCUCCACCUUUGUUCGUCACGCCGUUGCUGUGGUUGUCGUCUCCGGAACCCCCGAUGAUGGGUUCGCGGAUGAGCAGAGGCGGGUAGCGCAUGGGACGUAUGGGGGGAGGUGUUCGGCCCGUACCUACGGGAGGACGGAUAAUGGGAGGUGUCGGUGUCCCUAUACCCGUACCGAUAGGUAGUCGUCCUCGUAUGCCCACAGGUGGGAGGUCGAUAGGGGUGGUAGUUCCACCGAUAGUGCCAGUGCCUCCUAGAAACGAACAACGGCCGCCACGCCGCCGCCGCCGCCGGAUACCGCGCGUAGUGAACUCGGUACCGGUAGUGCCGGUGCCGCCUAUCAUGGUGGCAGGACGCCCAAUGGUAGUAGUGAUGCCGCCGUUCAAGUUCUUCGUACCUGCGAUGCCGAUACCCAUACCGCCGUUCAAGUUCGUACCGUUCGCGUACGCAGAGAAACCUCCCUUCGUACCGGAGAAACCACCUUUUGUGUUCACCUUCAUCAAAGGAAUACCAAGAAGCUUCACCUAUACAGCUCUCCUCACUUGGCUAUAUUAGAACCCUUAUUUAGGCAGAUACAUUAUUAGUUGAGGUACUAGCUAGGUAUUUAUAUUCAAGACGCGCGCAUGCAUACAUACACUUAUAGCCAACGCUAAACGCUGCAGCCACUAAUUUAGACAACGUAAACGAACCAGGCGUGCAUGCUUACUGCUUUCUUUGCGCGCGUCAGGUGUGGAACAUGCUAGCUAGACAUUGAUGCAUGGUCAAAUUUGUACGUUGGCGCGUAGUGGAUAUAUAUGCAUGCAUGAGGGUAGGGUACGUAGAGGAGAGAACGAAAGCCUGUUUAAGCUAGAAGUAUUAAUUCAAACAGAAGAAAGACGUGCUGCUCAGCUUCUCUAGCUACUACUGGUUCGAGUCGUCGUCGCCGUCGUUGUUGCAACUACUGCCGAUGCUCAUGCUUCUUCUUAUGUAGUUCUUGCGCGCACCCUACUUCGAGAAGUGGACGGCCACCGAGGGGCGGUUGCGGUCUGGUUAGUUCCGGGAGCAGAAGUACACGGUGCCAAUGCGCCACCUCACGUCGCACUGCUACGCGCCGUGGCCCCACGCCGACCGCGUCCGGCCGAUGCGGCAGAUGCCGUACCUGAUGCUCCCGGUGCCGUUCAGCCUG